UGCCAGCCGCCGCGGUAAUACGAAGGGACCUAGCGUAGUUCGGAAUUACUGGGCUUAAAGAGUUCGUAGGUGGUUGAAAAAGUUGGUGGUGAAAUCCCAGAGCUUAACUCUGGAACUGCCAUCAAAACUUUUCAGCUAGAGUUUGGUAGAGGAGAGUGGAAUUCCUAGUGUAGAGGUGAAAUUCGUAGAUAUUAGGAGGAACACCAGUGGCGAAGGCGACUCUCUGGGCCAAUACUGACGCUGAGGUUCGAAAGCGUGGGGAGCGAACGGGAUUAGAUA
rnacentral:rRNA from 1 species